rnacentral:rRNA from 1 species
AGAGUUUGAUCCUGGCUCAGGAUGAACGCUGGCGGCGUGCUUUAUGCAUGCAAGUCGAACGAGAAGGGGCGGACUUCGGUCCGGCCUGGAGAGUGGCGAACGGGUGAGUAACACGUGAGUGACCUGCCCCGAGGUGGGGGACAACCGUGGGAAACCACGGCUAAUACCCCGUAGUCCUGUGCGCAUUGGUCGCGUACAGGUAUAGCUCCGGCGCCUCGGGAGGGGCUCGCGGUCGAUUAGCUAGUUGGUGGGGUAACGGCCUACCAAGGUGACGAUCGAUAGCUGGUCUGAGAGGACGAUCAGCCACACUGGGACUGAGAUACGGCCCAGACUCCUACGGGGGGCAGCAGCAAGGAAUAUUGGACAAUGGGCGCAAGCCUGAUCCAGCAACGCCGCGUGGAGGAAGAAGGCUUCGGUUGUAAACUCCUUUUGUGAGGGAUGAGACAAGGACAGUACCUCACGAAUAAGUCACGGCUAACUAGGUGCCAGCAGCCGCGGUAACACCUAGGUGACAAGCGUUAUCCGGAUUUACUGGGCGUAAAGGGCUCGAAGGCGGCAGCUCAAGUCCGGCGUGAAAUCUCCUGGCUUAACCAGGAGGGGUCGUCGGAUACUGUGCUGCUAGAGGCAGUGAGAGGGGUGCGGAAUUCUCGGUGGAGUGGUGGAAUACGUAGAUAUCGAGAGGAACACCAGUGGCGAAAGCGGCGCCCUGGCACUGACCUGACGUUCAUGAGCGAAAGCGUGGGGAGCGAACGGGAUUAGAUACCCCGGUAGUCCACGCUGUAAACGAUGAGUACUAGGUGUAGGCGACAACCGUGGUCUGUGCCGAAGCUAACGCGAUAAGUACUCCGCCUGGGGACUACGGCCGCAAGGCUAAAACUCAAAGGAAUUGACGGGGACCCGCACAAGCAGCGGAGCGUGUUGUUUAAUUCGAUGUAACGCGAAGAACCUUACCUGGGUUUGACAUGUGCGUAGUAGUGAAGCGAAAGCCGAACGACCCUUCGGGGAGCGUACACAGGUGUUGCAUGGCUGUCGUCAGCUCGUG